GGAGGCAAGGCAUGAUGAAACAUGCACGAGCCUGCCAGGCUGGAUCUCAACCAUCAUACACCCCCGUGGCUCUGCUAAGUGCUCAGCCCUGUGACUUUUUGCAAAGUCACAACUUGGCCGAACAAUGAGACAGCCAUGGAAACCGAAUGGUCUCUCCACCCCCUUCUUGGAUUCGACUUGAAGAAAUCUGGCAACAGGUCACUGAAGAGGAUCCCCCCGUGUCUGGUGGACAAAACUUAUCAGGCCGAGCCAAGCGGGUCCCCAAGACUGAGUCAAAGCUUGUUGGAUAGAGCACGCAAGUUGAUGCUGUGGGAAGCAACCAAAGGCGAGGCGCUAACAUGAGACAAAAGUCUAACCUCGAAGGGGAUGUCAGUCUCUGAUGAAUCUGCGAUUGUGUAAAACUAAUGAGGGUGGCGGUGAUGGAGGGGAAAAAACACUGCCACUGUGAAAAAAAAAUAUAUGCUGUGAAUGUGCUACUGUAAGACAGAAACACACGCUGGUUGUAAAAUCUGUUUGAAACAUGAUUCCUCCUGGAUGGCGGAAGAGUAUUUGUUGUGACACCCUUUGAUUGUUGAUAUGUUCAAGUAUCGUUGGCAUGUUAUUUGAUUAUUGUGGGCUUCUGGAUGAUGUUGGGGGGCUGGGUGAUUAAACUCUCUCAAAAUCCUCAAAAUCUGCAGUAACAUGUGAGAUUUCUCGACACCGACACAGUUUAUAUUCACCAACCACUGUCGACUAUUUGUUCCGGUUGUGACAAUUUCGUCAAACUGAGUGAAUUAAGUGCGAAUAAAUGUCACAUCACAGCGCAGUGAGACAUCGUGACAUUUCAGCAAAUUUAUGCGCAUUGCGCAUGCGACCUAUGAUCGAGGUAAAAAUGCGAAAGCAAAGGAAAUAAUUAGCAAACAUAAUAAUACAUCUUGUCUUUUCAAUAGGGGUGUAAUGAAUUCAUCAAUCAUCCAUUAAUGUUCAUUAUUCUCACAAUACAUGCAUCAUAUUGUGUAAGGGUCAACUUUUCUGGAUUCAUGUUGUACAAAAUGGGUUCACGUGACCCCCUCCAGCCACUAGAGACGACUAACAU